rnacentral:rRNA from 1 species
AAAAACAUCACCUCCAGCAUUCCCAGUAUUGGAGGCACUGCCUGCCCGGUGACAUUAGUUAAACGGCCGCGGUAUUCUGACCGUGCAAAGGUAGCAUAAUCAUUUGUUCUCUAAAUAAGGACUUGUAUGAAAGGCCACACGAGGGUUUAACUGUCUCUUACUUCCAAUCAGUGAAAUUGACCUUCCCGUGAAGAGGCGGGAAUAAAACAAUAAGACGAGAAGACCCUAUGGAGCUUUAAUUAACUAGCUCAAAAGAAUCUAUCUACCAGACCGACAGGAACAACAUACUCCUUCCAUGAGCUAACAAUUUAGGUUGGGGCGACCUCGGAGCAUAAAAUAACCUCCGAGUGAUAUUAAUCUAGACGUACCAGUCAAAAUGCUCACUUACUUAUUGAUCCAAAAACCUCUUUGAUCAACGGAACAAGUUACCCUAGGGAUAACAGCGCAAUCCUAUUUAAGAGUCCAUAUCGACAAUAGGGUUUACGACCUCGAUGUUGGAUCAGGACAUCCUAAUGGUGCAGCAGCUAUUAAGGGUUCGUUUGUUCAACGAUUAAAGUCCUACAUGAUCUGA